ensembl:lncRNA
GACCGAUUGGGGGGGCAGCGGGCCGAUUGGGGGGCAGUGGACCGAUUGGGGGGGCAGCGGCUACUUCCAUAGAGAAGCAGGUUUUCCACGCGUGCUUCAGAGGGCCAAAGGAGGCGUGGCCUGCGGGAUGUCGUGGGCAGCAGUGUCAUUCAGAGGUAGACGGUAUGUCAGCUGAUUAACUCGUAGCUUCUAUAGUUACCAAACUAACUAACGAAACGUAUGCUUCUUUUUCUUCUGACUGUAACAUUUUGUACUUUGGCGAUAGAUUGCUUACUGGAUAAAACAUUGUAUAAAUACUGUUGAUUGAGGCAGACAGCUCGCUGAAGAAAUCCUUUCACUUAACGUUUGUUGAUAUGCGUUUACUAGAAUACGGCCUCUGAAGUAGGAAAUAUUCAUUACUACCAGAUUGCCUACAUGUGCAUAGAGUGGAGACUUAUGAAGUAAUCCCAUGGAAAUAAUAAGUAUUAUUUCUGGUUGCCUUUUCUCUGUAGUUUAAUUUGACACACGGUGAAUUUGGCGUUCUGGUCUUCAAAGACUGAGGUUUGCUGGAAUACUCCAUAAAUAGAGCACCUUUUCUUAUAGUUGCCAUUAAUCUGAAAAAUGCUAAAUUCCCUUUGAACGUGCGCGUUGGUGGUUUGCGUUGUAAACUUUAAUUAGAUAAUGGUAGAUUGGACUUUAGGAGAACUAUGGUCUGAAUUAUCCCCCUCCUGUGCGGCUGCAGUGAAGAUGUUCUUUGGGGCGAAUUAGAGAAGCACAACGCUUGUGUCAAUUAAUUAAAAAACUCUUUUUUUAUCGUGUGAAUACUCUUCUGCUUGUGCAACGGAACCAGGUUCUUUUCUAUCGACUAAUUUCCCUUUCUUAAAAGAAGUAUCUUCUAUUGAACGUGUUUGUUUCAUUGGGUCUGCUGCUCACGGCCAGCGUACAUCACAGGCACCUUAGUGACAACACGAGGAGCAGACAUGAUGCAAAUCAAUGGACAGAAAUUGUUUCAAACAUUUCAUAUCAAAUUCAUCCACUAUGCAGGAUGCUUUCAUUCAUAGUGCAUCAUGUUUGAACUAUUUCAACUACAAAAACACCCUCAAACUGCGGUUUGGUCCCUGCCACAAAGAGAUGAAGAAAAUGCUCAAGCUGCUUCCUGUCACUGUAAUCUGAUUACAAUCCUCCCAAUGUCCCAAUGACUGAUUCAUGUUCUAAGGGACGAAGCCUGACUGUUUUUGCUCCACUAAUAUGACGGUCGUGUAGAUGCGGCGCUGCACUUCAACGGGGAAUUCUACAGAUGUUUUGACAAAUUUUCUCUGUGAAAAAGUCACUUGGUGAUUAGGUCAGCUAAUCAGGUCGGUUCCCCAACUUGCAAAUAGCAAGAGAUUGAGAAGUUGUGUACUGUAUUUGCAUAAGAGGAUCAUUAUGUGUCUUUUGGGAGUAAAGGUGAAAAGCUAAGAAGGAGAAAGGAAGGUGGUGUGAUCACCGUGUGUUUGCUGCGUGGGAUGAAAUCUGCUCGUGUGGUCAUUACACAUGUGUGACCAACAUCUGCUUCCGGGAUCAGCUGAGGAGGUUUGGUGGGCGGCCGAUGUGUGUCAAGAUGCGUGUGGUAGGGGCGCAGUACGUACUGGGUCACUGGAAGGCUUGGUGGAGGCGAGGCAGCGUGGUGGGGGGCAGUACGUACUGGGUCACUGGAAGGCUUGGUGGAGGCGAGGCAGCGUGGUGGGGGGCAGUACGUACUGGGUCACUGGAAGGCUUGGUGGAAGCGAGGCAGCGUGGUGGGGGGCAGUACGUACUGG